AGCAGUCGCCACGGGAAUACGUAGGUGGCAAGCGUUGUCCGGAAUUAUUGGGCGUAAAGGGCUCGCAGGCGGUUUCUUAAGUCUGAUGUGAAAGCCCCUGGCUCAACCGGGGAGGGUCAUUGGAAACUGGGAAACUUGAGUGCAGAAGAGGAGAGUGGAAUUCCACGUGUAGCGGUGAAAUGCGUAGAGAUGUGGAGGAUCACCAGUGGCGAAGGCGACUCUCUGGUCUGUAACUGACGCUGAGGAGCGAAAGCGUGGGGAGCGAACAGGAUUAGAUACCCGAGUAGUCCCUGUCUCUUAUAC
rnacentral:rRNA from 1 species